CACUCCAAGAGCUGGGAGAUCUGAAUCUGAUGCCUUUCUCUGACUGAGGGAAUUCACACCUACAUAUUUCACCUUCCUCUCCUAUGAGUUAAAGCAGCAGAAGGUAGGCUGUCUUCAAUCCCUUUUAUAAAUGAAGGGAAGCGCUUCUUAUUUUUAAUUCCUAGGAGAAAGAAGAGUGCACAAAAGCAGAUGUUUGAAGCACUCAUCUGUGAGAGACGAGCUCUGGGCCCAGGUCCCUGCUCCCUACCUCCAGGAUUAAUGGCUUAGGGGGUCUAGAAUUAAGCUAAAUUACCUUUAAGUACAGGUGACUAGAUUUAUUAAAGAGGACCAGCAGUGACUGAGAAUGUCUCAUGACUGCAUCAAUGGCCAGUGGGAAGUACAGCCAUGCAAAACUCAUUACUCAGUUCUGUACUCAUUAAUGUUUGAAUGACUAAGGUACUGACAUGCAGUACAGAAGGAACAUUAAUUUUAUGGAAGGUAAUGAAUUGAAAUUCAGAAGCCAACCUUUUCUUUGGACCACUGUAAAAAUAUUUAGCAUUUAUUAUAUACAUAUUUUAUGUCUUCAAAGUGCUGAAUUUUUUUAAUGAAUUAUGAAAACCCUGUGAGAAGUACUUCAGGUUGCAUACCCCUGUGCUGAAGUGGAAGGAACCAAGGAAAGGAAAAAGGUUAAGUGAGCAUCUGAGGCCAGAAAUUCAGUAAGCAGUAGGAGAGUUGGUAUUAGACUUCAAACAUGCCCAAUUUUCAGUUCCCAAAACAUAUGCCCUCAAAAUAAAGGAAAAUAAAUAAAUCUGUGCAUGCACUUCCAUGGUAAUAAACAGAAAUACACUUGAGCAUUUAAUACCACUGAUGUAGAAGGUUCUGUGAAAAAGAGCUUCACAAAUAUUUUUUUUCUUAAGGAAUAUAGCUAAAAAUAAUAAAAAUAGCACCAGCUAUUGUAUGAUUAGCAUCAAACAUGCACUUCUCUUAUUGGUAUGCAUUUAUCUUUUGGGAAGAACAAUGUUCCAGCAAGAAUCUGAUAUCCUAAUAUAAAGGCUAUAGAUGUCCCAUGCAUGAAAGCCUUCCCAAUCAUCACUAUGGGACACAACUCUGGCAGACAGGAGGGGUGAAGGAAGAGGAAAAUGGAGUAGCCUGCACUGCACAGCUCCUACCAUGUGCUACUGAUGAUAGAGAUGACUGGUUAACAGUGCCAGAGGAAGGGAGGUGUGGCUCUGUGUCACCUGCUCUCCACUCAGCCAUCUCCCUUCCUUUCCCAGCAGCCAGUUCUGACAUAGCCUCCUAAUCACUUCAUGACUGCCUUUUAAAAAAGUUGUUUUACAGACAUUUUCAGUUCUCUUGUUUAUUUAACAUAACCUCUGUGAUUUCCAGAAAACACACUCACAUAAGAAAUAAUAUUUCUUACUGCUCUGGCUAAUUUCAUCUGUGAUAGAAGUCAACAGGGUGUAAUUAUUUCAGACACCUGCAGUGAAGUUAGUAGCCAAUCAUGUUACAAGAUGUUUCCACAUUCCCAUCUGCUUCAACUCUUUCUAGUUACUCAUAUAUUUACUUGAAAAAAUGUAGGACACCACAUAUGUUGGUCUUCAAUGUGGCAGGCUGUGUUAGAGAUAAUUUAGUGCUUUGUAAGGUGAACAAAAUUACCUGAAAAGUUAGUGUAAACUCCAUCCCUGUUGAUAGAGAUGACUUGAUAAUCUGAAGACAAAGUAAUUUUACCAAAGGUGAUCACGCAGUAAUAAGAUUGAUCAUGGAAAUCAUACCCUUGGAAAGCAACAGAAAUAAUAUGUGGGCAACGUACACAGAAGGAACAGGAGCUCAAUAGAAAGCAGUCCUGAUGUAUUCAACACCAGUCAGCUUCAUGGCACUUAAGGAGAUGUCAAAGAUUUACUUAAACUAGGAGUAAUUAUCCUCAAAAAGUCAUGGAAGAUAAUAAAAAGACCAAAGAAGGGCUAAAAGAACAUUUAAGAUAGGAGUAAAGAAAGGUUUGUGAAUUUAUAGCCAACCAAACUGCAGGGACCGGCAUGUUACUAGCAAAAUCAUUUAAAAACCCAAUCACCAUCCCCUGGUCCUUGUGGCCUUUGAGAUCUCCUGACUUUGCUCUUGGCCAUGUGAAAUAAAUGUUCAUGUAUCAAUAAAUAAAUGUACAUGUAUCUCUGUCUAUGCACACAUACAAAAUUGAGCCUAAUAAAAAAGUGUGAUCUUGCUGCAAUGUGUUACCCGCCAGAACAUUUAUAGGCCAAGAGAAAUUCAAGAUGUUUAUAAUGAGGUUGUUCAGCAUGAAUCAUCUCAGAUCAAAUUUCCUUCCUUUGUUGGAAAAUGGGCCUACUAAAUCAUCAGCAGCAAGGAGAAGCACAGCAGGAUGUGGACACUGAUUAUGCAACUUCUGAUGCGAUGUCACGUGAUGUUCCCUGUACACAAACUAGCCUGAAUCAAAAUGCAGAGUUUGCACAAGAAGUUGAAAUACACAUUUAGAGAAUAAUUAUCAGUAUUUAAGUAGAACUGGACUGGAACAUAUUGAAAGAAUCUGCAAUGACCUGCUCCCUGCAGACCCUCUGGGGAGGAUCCAGAACUCAAGGACUUUCCAUAACGGGGCCUAGCACUGACACAAUGCUGCACACAGCCCUCUGCUGAAAAUAAUCUGAGUACAGGGGCACCAAACGACUUCCUUUCUAAUAGUUGCUACCUGCUCUUCCAGCAAGGAAAUUUAACUUGGGAGCACAGGCCACUCUCUGACAUUUGGAAAUUUAGUCCCAAAAUGAGAUUCCAGUCACAAAUUCAGCCCCAUGACAAUAAUCAAAACCAAUCAAAUGCAAGAGAUGUGACCUAAAAUAUCAAAAUAAAAGUGUUGAUGAAUAUGAACUCCCUUUCAGAGAACACAGUAGGAAUGGGUCAUCAGACCAUAACUUCGUCAGGGUAACAGACAGCAAAGAUGCUGGACAAAAGAAACAGAGAAUUUGGUGUAAUGAGACUAAAACUGGGCAAGUGUGAAAAAACCCCAAGGACACUGCAACAAGGCUUCUGAAGGUGGGAAUACGAAUGAAAAAUAAAAAUGCAAAGAUUUUUUUUAUACACAGUAACACCUUGAUGGCAUUUGUAUCUCAACAAUUUCAAGAGGCAAUCUUUAAAGAAAGCAUAAAGCAUUCCUCUGGAAAGUAAGUGAAAGCACUUUCAAAACACGAAAGGAAAACAGUAACUCUUUCUGCAAUAUUGAUCGCUUGGUCUGGGACUCCUAAGGGCUGAUGUAGAAAUGCAGCUUGUAGAUGUCUGUUCCUGAGCUAACUUCUUCAGCUGAGAGGCACUUCUAAGACACUACUUAUCUCAUCCUAACGUAGACAUCUGAACCAGGUCAGAUGAAUCACCUAGUAAAAAUGUCAAAUUCUCUCCAAUGGCGAUAAGAGGAGGUGUGGCUGAUCAAGUCAGCCUAAGACAUCCACACUGUAAACUACCAAAGAGACAUUAAACUGAAUCCCACUCAAAGCAACCAUUGAUUUCAUGUGAAUAUUAUGAAAUGUUUGCUGACUUUUAAAGAAAUUCAAACAAAUUUUUAUGGGGACUCACCCUGAGGGUUAUCGACCGAGGUGGUUUCUGAGGAGGAUCUUCGUGCAGCCUGUCUCCCAAAGAUGCCAGAACACGCUUCCGGUGGCCAAUCAAGCUAAUUUUUAAGACCUGGAAAAGUAAUAGAAAGAUCUCAUUAAAAAGAACACAUUGUAAUCAUUAAAUAAAGAUUUAUUUGGACUGAGACCAUUUUCACUUUAAAUGCUUUAACAAGUUAGUCCACCACGCAGGUUGAGGAGACAGAGCAGUGUGAGGCAAACAAAGGGCAGAGAAAAUGAGAAGUGAGAUCAGAGGAAAAAUCCUGUAAAAUGAAGGAAGAUACCAAAGUAGAUAUGGAUGCAGAAAAUGAGAAAUAGGCUCACGGAUGAGUAAGGAGGAGAGAAAAAUGACACAGGAAGAGAAGGCAGCAAAGCAGGAGCGAAAACAAGGGAAGGGGAGGGAGAGACUGGAAACACACAGAUGGAGCCAAAAAGUGAAUGAUAAAGGGAUUCAUAGGUAUGGGAAAGAUACAGAUAUUAAGGACCAGAGAUUGAGGAACAGCCAGCAAAUACUUUGAGACAGCAACAAGGGAGAAAAUGAACUGCACAAUGAUCAAAUAGUAUUGCUUUUAAAUCUAUUCACCAUGCCUUUUGCAGGUAAUCUCUGAAUGACACGCAGAGUUUGCAUUUAUCUUGGAGAAUCAUCCUCAUGUAAGAAAACCAGGACAUUCUCCCCAACAUUGUCCUGGUGACCUACUACUUUUAUCAUAUGCAAUGAAAAAUCUCUAUUGCACACAAACCUGACCAUCAGUGGACAAGUUCAAAUGCCUUCUGCUUGUCUAAACUCUAAAAACACUUCUGAAAAAGUGUUCCAAAUUUACUGCAACUAUACCCUACCUGUACCUCUCCAUGUCUCUACCACAUACAAAAAAAACACUGUUCUUGGGGAAACAGAAGAGCAGAAGAGAAGAAGCAGAAAGUAGGAAACAAGCAUUAUUGGCAAAAACAAAAACAAACACAUAUUUUGAUGCCAUUCUUUAAUGGCUACAAUUGCUUCAAAGUGUAAAGCAGCCAUAACUGCGGAAGCAAGCUUCUGUCCUCAGAGGUAUCCUCACAUAACUCUUGCAGACUAUGUAUGGUUUCAUACUCCAGAGCUGCCUCCAUUCACUCCCAGAAGACAGUACUUCACACUAUAUUUAGGAUCACUGUGUGUCAACACCCUUGAGUUGAAAGGAAUUUGUCACGCAUCCUAGAAAAAGUAAUAGUACCCACAAAAACUCUGAAAAUGGUGCCUUUUCAGUGAACAAUUACCUCAGAUUAAGCAGUAAUAUUAAGAACUACCAUUCAUGAAAAACAAAACAAAACAAAACAAAA